UCUUCCAGUGGGACCAAGGCAGCGAAGGAUAUGGACCACUUCUCCUGGGGACCAAUACUGCACCGAGCAUUUACCCUACCUCGUGACUGGGCUACCAUUCCACAAACACUUGAGGACCCUGGUUCCACCCGAAAGUUGGACGCUUUGUGACGUGUUUUAAUUUUGAAUAUUUACCACAAUAGUGGGAGGGGGGGGAUGCAAAUAACCAUGUUGAUUAAUUUAUUUUCUUCACUGAUUUUUCCUUUAGUAAAAAUAUUAAAUUCCAGUUAUACUGAAGGGGAACAAUUGAGGUGUUUGUAUAAUGGUGAUGCUGUCCGGUUGUGUAACUUCCUAGUUGUCUGAUACCUUUGAAUAUUGUGUAACACUAAUCGAAGAUGUUAUUUGCUGGUGUACUUUGACAUGUGACGUCAUUAACCCUAAGAGUACUCUCGGCUUCCGAGAACCUACCUGCAUUCAUCUUAACAGGUAGGUUCCUGCCACGUACUGGACUAAACUGUCCAGAGAGGAAGGCCAGGUUAUAAGAUAUCUAAUCGUAACGGGCGAACUGCUAUAAUAAUACAGUGACACUAUACUGUGAGGUUAAAAUUGACUCUGGUUCUUGCUCAAUGGCCAGCAAAAUGUCCUGUUCGAUCGGCGGGCAAGAAGCCUGGGAUGGAUUGGCCAUCGUAAUCUGCCACCGAUUAUCGCUGAGCUCCUGCCAGUGAUCAAGCAGGCUAAAUCCUUCUGGGAAGGAGAUUAGGGGAAGGGAGGGGGAUAACGAACGCUGUGUACAAGAUGAAGCCUGGCGACUCGAAUGUGGUGGACUGCUUCUAAUGUGACGUUGACAGGAAAACCGGGCAGUUUGUCAGAAAGGUUUAAAUAAGAAAUUAUGUGGUUAGGUGUGUUUAGUGGAAACAGCGGAAGUGUUCAAAGGACAUCUCUGCCACAAAUUCUAGGGUGGUCGUGCCCUGAGAAUGUGUUGGUGAUGAGUCCAGCAGUGGCACAGGUGACUUGGACUUGUUUAAAUUUGGGGAUGUUUUCACUGUUGACAUGUCUCCCUGACUUACUGUAGAUAUGACUUCAAGAGGCCAUUGUAUGACCUCGUUGGGUAGCUGAUUAGGUAUACAGUGAAAGAAAAGGAUGGUUUUACAGAGAAAUAAAUGUUUUGAAGUUUUUUGCACAUGUAAUUAAAAGUUUAAUGUUUCUGUAGAAAGCAGAAUCUUUUAUAAUUCUAUUUAUUCACCUAAAACAAUGGGCUGGACAUUUUGGUUCCAGUGAGACUGAGUUCCAUUGAGUGAUGCUAAACUGGUCUCUUUGUGCUACUUUUUUCCAUUUGCUUUUUCUUCCCGUUCAUUCAUCCUGCAUCUGCUCCCCCCCAGAUCUCAGUCCCCACCCCCAACCCUCCUCCCCAAUAUAAAACAAUUGCUAUCUGCAGACUGAAAGUCCGAGAUUUCAGUCUAGCCGUCCUUAAAAAUUGGGUUUGUGGCACCCGUUGACUGCACUCUUGUAAUGAAAAGUUAAUUUGCACAACUUCGUCAAAGCAUUAUGAAAGUCUUGAAUGGAGCAUUGAGUACUCUUGGUGGUUAAUAACUUAUCAGUGCUCUGCCACCACUUAGCAGUUGGCUACUUGGGCUUAUUCUGCAAGGAAGAAGUCUUCUAGAGCCAGUACAGUCGGCAUGAAGUACAUUUUGUUUUGUUGUGUUCCUCUUGUAACUUGUAGAAGUAAUAUAGAAGUGUACUUUGUGACACGAAUCGACAGAGUUUCUAAAUACUUUUGAUAUUUGUAAACUUUUUUUAGUCUUACAGUUUUCAAAGGGGAAAAUGUCACGUAUCAAACGCUGUUUAACUGUGUGUUCGUUGUUGCUCGGGCCGUUCCUGCUUAUUUUUUGAAAAGUCUGAAGAAGAAGGAAAAAAAAAACACACACAAAGCCUGACCUUGACCCCGGGAAAAUAAUUUGAACAGAGUCCAAGACAAUUGGGUGCCAAUCAUGUCUGACACUAAAUCUGACCUUGUCUGACCUCUGGAACGCAUUUUGAGCUAUGCAGUGAAGUAGAACGGGCAGAACAUUGACCUUUUCAGCUUCUCAAUCCUGAGUUUCAAUCCAGCUCAGACUGGUGGACUUAGAACCCCCUUCACAAUUGUGAAGGGGAGUCUGAGGAAGGUGGAGAGUGGGCGGGAGGGGGGAGAGAAGGGGGAGGGGGGUGGGAGGGUUGAUGGUGUCAAGUCAGUUCCCAGUGGACACAUCCAUAACACAAGCUGCCUGUAACAUGACUGGCACUAAUAGGGCAAUCUCCCUCUGAGAGGCCAGAGACGGGGUCAGCAGAAAUCAACAGGAGAUUUUUGCAGUUUAAUUUAACCCUUGCAUAGUUUAAUUUAACCCGCGGAUAGUUUUUCCACAAAGAAUGUGGUCACUUCUCAAGGAAAAAGUAAAGAAUUUAAAUCUAACUUUUCCGCAACGGUCUACCUUAAAAAUAAAUAAAUCUAGGUUUUGAAUUUGGCUUUGAUUGUAGUGAAGUUUUUGUUGAAUCCCAACAUUUCACCACUAAAAUUGGCAGUACCUAAGGUGUCAGAAAUAGUACUGGCAUAGGUUUUGGUUUGGCAAUUGAAAUUUAUUUAAUGUGUCUGUUGCAGAGAGGAAAGGGGUCUCUGGGAUUUUGAGCUGGCAGUGAAUAACGAUGGUGUGGAAAGUGGAGGUCUCUGGCGCAGCAGAUGGAGGGUUUUUUUUGGUGGUGUAUCUGACAGCUGUUGCUCUCUCUCACCAGAGACCCG